rnacentral:rRNA from 1 species
UACAGAGGGUGCGAGCGUUAAUCGGAAUUACUGGGCGUAAAGCGCGCGUAGGCGGCUUUGCAAGUCGGGUGUGAAAUCCCCAGGCUUAACCUGGGAACUGCAUUCGAGACUGCAUUGCUAGAGUAUGGGAGAGGGAAGUGGAAUUUCCGGUGUAGCGGUGAAAUGCGUAGAUAUCGGAAGAAACAUCAGUGGCGAAAGCGACUUCCUGGACCAAUACUGACGCUCAUGUGCGAAAGCGUGGGGAGCAAACAGG